GAUGAACGCUCGCGGGAGGCCUAACACAUGCAAGCCGAGCGGUAUUUGUUCUUCGGAACAGAGAGAGCGGCGCACGGGUGCGGAACACGUGUGCAACCUGCCUUUAUCUGGGGGAUAGCCUUUCGAAAGGAAGAUUAAUACCCCAUAAUAUAUUGAGUGGCAUCACUUGAUAUUGAAAACUCCGGUGGAUAGAGAUGGGCACGCGCAAGAUUAGAUAGUUGGUGAGGUAACGGCUCACCAAGUCAAUGAUCUUUAGGGGGCCUGAGAGGGUGACCCCCCACACUGGUACUGAGACACGGACCAGACUCCUACGGGAGGCAGCAGUGAGGAAUAUUGGACAAUGGGUUAGCGCCUGAUCCAGCCAUCCCGCGUGAAGGACGACGGCCCUAUGGGUUGUAAACUUCUUUUGUAUAGGGAUAAACCUACUCUCGUGAGAGUAGCUGAAGGUACUAUACGAAUAAGCACCGGCUAACUCCGUG
rnacentral:rRNA from 1 species